rnacentral:rRNA from 1 species
CGCGUUGGUGACCUACCCCAAAGUGUGGGAUAACAAUCCGAAAGGAUUGCUAAUACCGCAUGUGGUCUCUGGAUUUAGAAACCGGUGACUAAAGGAGCAAUUCGCUUUGGGAGGGACCUGCGUCCCAUCAGCUAGUUGGUGAGGUAACGGCUCACCAAGGCGACGACGGGUAGGGGACCUGAGAGGGUGGCCCCCCACAAUGGAACUGAAACACGGUCCAUACACCUACGGGUGGCAGCAGUAGGGAAUAUUGGUCAAUGGGCGAAAGCCUGAACCAGCAACGCCGCGUGUGCGAUGAAGGCCUUCGGGUCGUAAAGCACUUUUCUGGGAGAUGAGAAAGGACAGUAUCCCAGGAAUAAGUCUCGGCUAACUACGUGCCAGCAGCCGCGGUAAAACGUAGGAGGCGAGCGUUAUCCGGAUUCACUGGGCGUAAAGCGCGUGCAGGUGGCUUGGUAAGUUAGGCGUGAAAUCUCCCGGCUCAACUGGGAGAGGUCGUCUAAUACUACCGGGCUUGAGAGCAGAAGAGGAAGAUGGAAUUCCCGGUGUAGUGGUGAAAUGCGUAGAUAUCGGGAGGAACACCAGUGGCGAAGGCGAUCUUCUGGUCUGUUUCUGACACUCAGACGCGACAGCUAGGGUAGUAAACGGGAUUAGAGACCCCGGUAAUCCUAGCCGUAAACGAUGUAAACUUGGCGUUGGUGGGUUAAACUCCAUCAGUGCCGCAGCAAACGCGAUAA